rnacentral:rRNA from 1 species
UACAGAGGUCCCAAGCGUUGUUCGGAUUCACUGGGCGUAAAGGGUGCGUAGGCGGUCGGGUAAGUCUGAUGUGAAAUCUCACUGCUUAACUGUGAAACUGCAUUGGAUACUAUUCGGCUUGAGAGUUGGAGGGGGGACUGGAAUUCUUGGUGUAGCAGUGAAAUGCGUAGAUAUCAAGAGGAACACCAGUGGCGAAGGCGAGUCCCUGGACAACUUCUGACGCUGAGGCACGAAAGCUAGGGGAGCAAAUGGG